GACGAACGCUGGCGGCGUGCUUAACACAUGCAAGUCGAACGGAAAGGCCCUGCUUUUGUGGGGUGCUCGAGUGGCGAACGGGUGAGUAACACGUGAGUAACCUGCCCUUGACUUUGGGAUAACUUCAGGAAACUGGGGCUAAUACCGGAUAGGAGCUCCUGCUGCAUGGGGGGGGUUGGAAAGUUUCGGCGGUUGGGGAUGGACUCGCGGCUUAUCAGCUUGUUGGUGGGGUAGUGGCUUACCAAGGCUUUGACGGGUAGCCGGCCUGAGAGGGUGACCGGCCACAUUGGGACUGAGAUACGGCCCAGACUCCUACGUGAGGCAGCAGUGGGGAAUAUUGCACAAUGGGCGGACGCCUGAUGCAUCAACGCCGCGUGCGGGAUGACGGCCUUCGGGUUGUAAACCGCUUUCGCCUGUGACGAAGCGUGAGUGACGGUAAUGGGUAAAGAAGCACCGGCUAACUACGUG
rnacentral:rRNA from 1 species